rnacentral:rRNA from 1 species
UGAUGCCGGUGCCCAAUGGGCCAGAAGUGAUUGAGCCAUACUGCCAAGAAAAACCUCUAAGUGAUGAAACUCAGGUGCCCGUACCGCAAACCGACUCUGGUAGGUGGGUAGAGAAUACCAAGGGGAUCGGGAGAACCCUCGUUAAGGAACUAGGCAAAAUUCCUCCGUAACUUCGGGAGAAGGAGGGCCUCUGUUGGUUAACGCUGACGGAGGUCGCAGCGAAUUGGCCCUGCCAACUGUUUAACAAAAACACAGGUCUCUGCUAAGUCGUAAGACGACGUAUAGGGGCUGACGCCUGCCCAGUGCUGGAAGGUUAAGGGGAGAGGUUAGCGUAAGCGAAGCUUUGAACCGAAGCCCCAGUGAACGGCGGCCGUAACUAUAACGGUCCUAAGGUAGCGAAAUUCCUUGUCGGGUAAGUUCCGACCCGCACGAAUGGCGUAAUGAGUGGGGCACUGUCUCAACGAGGGACCCGGCGAAAUUGAAAUACGUGUAAAGAUGCGCGUUACCCGCAGCAGGACAAAAAGACCCCGUGGAGCUUUACUACAGCUUGACAUUGGGUUAGGGCUUAAUUUGUGUAGCAUAGCUGGGAGGCUUUGAAGCUGGGACGUCAGUCUCGGUGGAGCCGCCAUUGAAAUACCAGCCUGGUUAAGUUUUGACUCUAACCUGUGACCGUAAUCCGGCAUGGGAACAGUGUCUGGUGGGUAGUUUGACUGGGGCGGUCGCCUCCGAAAGAGUAACAGAGGCGCCCAAAGGUUCGCUCAGGCUGAAUGGAAACCAGCCGUAGAGUGUAAAGGCAGAAGCGAGCUUGACUGCAAGACAUACACGUCGCGCAGGCACGAAAGUGGGGCUUAGUGAUCCCACGGUUCCGAGUGGAAGGGCCGUGGCUUACCGGAUAAAAGCUACCCCGGGGAUAACAGGCUAGUCAGGUCCAAGAGUUCACAUCGACGACCUGGCUCGGCACCUCGAUGUCGGCUCGUCGCAUCCUGGGGCUGGAUAAGGUCCCAAGGGUUGGGCUGUUCGCCCAUUAAAGCGGCACGUGAGCUGGGUUCAGACCGUCGUGAGACAGGUCGGUCUCUAUCCGCUGUUGGCGUAAGGGAUUUGAAGGGCGCUGCUCCUAGUACGAGAGGACCGGAGUGGACAGACCUCUAGUGUGCCAGUUGUUUCGCCAGAAGCAUCGCUGGGUAGCUAUGUCUGGACUGGAAAACC